CCUACGGGAGGCAGCAGUGAGGAAUAUUGGUCAAUGGCCGCAGGGCUGAACCAGCCAAGUCGCGUGAGGGAUGACGGUCCUAUGGAUUGUAAACUUCUUUUGUCAGGGAGCAAAGGGCGCCACGUGUGGCGCUUUGCGAGUACCUGAAGAAAAAGCAUCGGCUAACUCCGUGCCAGCAGCCGCGGUAAUACGGAGGAUGCGAGCGUUAUCCGGAUUUAUUGGGUUUAAAGGGUGCGCAGGGGGAAGGUAAAGUCAGCGGUAAAAUUUCGGGGCUCAACCCAGUCGUGCCGUUGAAACUGGCGUUCUUGAGUGAAGGAGAAGUAUGCGGAAUGCGUGGUGUAGCGGUGAAAUGCAUAGAUAUCACGAAGAACUCCGAUUGCGAAGGCAGCAUACCGGCGCUCAACUGACGCUGAUGCACGAAAGCGUGGGUAUCGAACAGGAUUAGAUACCCUAGUAGUC
rnacentral:rRNA from 1 species